CCAAUAGCGUAUAUUAAAGUUGUUGCAGUUAAAAAGCUCGUAGUUGAAUUUCGGGACUAACAGGUUGGUCGCGCCAUUGGUGUGUACUGGUCUAGUUGGUUUCUCCCUUCUGACGAACCACGAUGUCAUUAAUUUGGUGUCGUGGGAAAUCAGGACUGUUACUUUGAAAAAAUUAGAGUGUUUAAAGCAAGCAUUAGCUUGAAUACAUUAGCAUGGAAUA
rnacentral:rRNA from 1 species